rnacentral:rRNA from 1 species
GACGAACGCUGGCGGCGUGCUUAACACAUGCAAGUCGAACGGAAAGGCCCUGCUUUUGUGGGGUGCUCGAGUGGCGAACGGGUGAGUAACACGUGAGUAACCUGCCCUUGACUUUGGGAUAAAUUCAGGAAACUGGGGCUAAUACCGGAUAGGAGCUCCUGCUGCAUGGGGGGGGUUGGAAAGUUUCGGCGGUUGGGGAUGGACUCGCGGCUUAUCAGCUUGUUGGUGGGGUAGUGGCUUACCAAGGCUUUGACGGGUAGCCGGCCUGAGAGGGUGACCGGCCACAUUGGGACUGAGGUACGGCCCAGACUCCUACGGGAGGCAGCAGUGGGGAAUAGUGCACAAUGGGCGGAAGCCGGAUGCAGCAACGCCGCGUGCGGGAUGACGGCCUUCGGGUUGUAAACCGCUUUCGCCUGUGACGAAGCGUGAGUGACGGUAAUGGGUAAAGAAGCACCGGCUAACUACGUG